GUGACAGGGAAGGGGCCAAAGAAAGCCCAGAGGAGGAGCAGAAGCGCAGCUGUUUCCUCUCUGCUAACUCAGCCACCUGGGUGUCACUUCCCCCUCAGGUAAGGGUGGAGGCACGGAAAUAGAAAAGUAGUCGAAGGGUUGUGCCAUAGAAGAUCUCCACUGAGGACCCAAUGUGUGCCCAGGACAGCCCUGGCUGUGAACCUUCUCAGGAAGAAACUGGUCAGGUGAGCCUUGCUGAGAGAGUCUCCAGGCAUCCAGAAGAGCUUUCUGCCAUAAUAUUGCCUGUACCAACUUAGGAAGAUACAGCUUGGAAAGCCAGGGGGCCCCUUUCAUACCUGACGCAUCCCUCUAUGAGGCAGGUCCAAAGGGCAGCAGCCAUUCUAGAUAGGCAAGGGGACUGUAAAGGGGGAAAAGGUGACUUGUUCGUGGAAAGCCAAGCAACCAAGGCCUCAGACUGAAUGGCCUACGACCAUCUAGUCCUUCUGGGAGUGAAAUGUGCUACUUGGAAGCAACCGAAUCUACAGACAAGGCACGUUCGGGAGUCUUGGGACCUGGUGCAGCUAUGAGGUUAGACAUUCUCACCUGUACCCUGUGGAUGCCGGCAGCAGCUUUAUAAAGUGUGAAGCUGUUUGGAGAAUAUCCUUUGGCACGUAUGAAGUAUUACACACAAGGCUAUCACCAUCAUACAAAGAAGACAAGGCAGAGAGAACACUAAGAGCUAAAAGUGAGGGAGGAGUGCUGUGUGUGUGUGUGAGAGAGAGAGAGAGAGAGAGAGAGAGAGAGAGAGAGAGAGAACACCUUCUGGAUGUUACAGGGCCAGGGCAAUCAUGAAUUCAUAACAGUUGGGGUUACCUGAAUAAGACCUGCACAAGAUCAAACCAGUAGACAUUCCAACAUGGAUGGGGCGGGGGCUCAGGAGACCCCCCCACCCCUAGCUGAAAUGCUACUGACCGUUGGUAACUCCUGGAAACAGAGAGUCAGUUUUCUCAGUGUGGCCCCUGGCAAGUUGCCCAUGCUCCAAUGGAUGGCCCCACAUCGACUCACCAAUGUGGAAACCGAGGCACGGCGUGGCAGUGAGUGAUGACAACAGGCCAGGUGACCCAGCACUGGAGUGCCUCUCACUCCUUAGGCCACUCUGCCUGGAUUGGCUUGUCAUCUCUCCCUGGCUCAUCUCAGCUGGAGAAUCAAGUGGCAGCUGGCCAACUUGUUAGGGGUCGAGUUACAGGUGAGGAUGCUGAGCCUGGAGUCAAGUCAGGGAUCCAAGCUUGUACUGUUUGGGAGUGCCAGAGGCGGUAUUUGAACCCCAAUCUGCCUGCUCUCACUUCUUCCAUGAUUCAAGGCCCUAAAAAAGAAGGCUCUUUCCAACUCUGAGGCUGCCCUUCUCGCUCCAGUGAGGCUGGAACCAUAAUCUCGGGCUCAGGAAAUAAAAAUGAAGAGCAGAGGCAUGAAGGGGUUUGCUACCGAUUCCUAAACGCACCACUCCUGGGACAGCAAACACAAUCUGCCAUGAUGGAAAUCAGGGAAAAUGCAUUAGUCUCACAGGUCUGCCCUGCAUUUAUCUUUCCAGCACUCACUGGAGACAGACCCUGUUCUCCCAGGAACCUCUCCGUCCACCAGUCAAACCCAGUUUCAUGACACAUGAUGAGCAACCUUUCCAGAAAGACAGCCCUCAAAUGCCACCCUGUAUCACCACUCUCUCACCGUCACACGGGUCUGAGCCUGGACUCACUCACCGACCGAGUGGGAAGAGCCCUGUCUUGGGCUUCUCCUUGGGCAGUAAACUAACCUGUGUUUACCUAGAUCCCACUGAAGCUGAGUGGAAUCCUAAGCAACUUUAACUUCACCAAGCUUUGGUCAAUCCAUCUGUAAUAAGGAUCAGAGCAACACACAGACACACAGACACACACACACACACACACACACACACACACACACACACACACACACACAGACACGCCAGUACAGUAAAUGAAGCAUCAGGCUCCCUGGAGAGCAUGCCUGUUAGCAUCCGGCACCAUGGAAGUAGCUGCUGACACUGGCUCUUAUUAGCAUUCCCUAGAGUCCUGUGGAGGAUCAGAGCAUUCACGACUGGUAUUUGUCUGAAAUAAACACUCAGGGAAGGAAAUGACCGUGAAAGCAAAACACCUCCCAAAUCCAAACAGACAUGAUGUCUCCUUUGCUUCAGAUAAACAAGCGUCUCCCCGCCACCAUAUGGCUCCAAACACACCUAUACACACCUGUGCGCGCAAAGAAGUCUGCUUUCCAACUUACACCGGCAAGCCCUCCGACGGAGGUGGCUAUGGUUUGCAUCUGGCAUCUGCAGAGCCAUCUUAAAGAAACAGGGUCUGAGGCCAACGCCCGUUUACCUAAGGUCUCCCAAGCAGGGAGGCUGACCCAAGCAGCGGGUGCUCAUCCUUCCCAGCCCCACCCGGGGCAGGGGCUGGCAGAGAGGAAGGAAGUGGAGUGCGGCCUGCACUACGAACAGCAUGGAAGACGGAGGCUAUUUGUCUGCCUUUUAUAAACAGACCCAAAGCACAGAAAUACACCCCCCCACCUCUUUAGCUCCCCCUCCUUGUGGGGAUGUGCACACCCUCCGGUUGGUGUCCUGAGAGAACCUUUUCAUGUGUUCCCCAGUGUUCUGGAGCCAGUGCUGUCCCUCCUGCAUGGGCUCCAAGCCUCCCUCAUCUGCAAGCUCUGGCUAAUGUGCACAUCCAUUAAAAAAAAAAAAAAAAAACUCUGCUCUGCGAUUUGCCAAAGCACAGGCUCGGCACUCCAUCGAAGCAGGCAUAGAAGGAGACAUGCUUUCCCAGUGUGGGGUUUGCCACACAUAUGUACAAGGUGUCCUGCCGGCUAACCAUGCUGGAAUGCCUCUUUCACAACACUUGCCCUUCCAGGAUGGGGUAUCUACUAUACAAGAGGUAUAGAAAAAAAAAAAAAAACAAAACUGCCCGAGAGCCCUCCUGAACUCUUUCAAUUAUUGGGCACCAGUGUAUUAUAUAUCAGUGCUCAAACUGUGUAGCAGUGUAUCUCUCUUCUUUGUCAACUUCAACCAGAUUUGGGGUAUCUUCACCCACACCACAGGCUGGAAGUCCGUCCGUUAGCCCCAGUGCUGUGACUAGGUAACCCACCUGCUUCUCUGUCAUCCCCUUAUCUGUUAAGUAAAAGGUUGCACCAGAUGAGCCAUCUGCCCCCGGCCAGCUCCACAAGGCCACAACAUAUAGCACACUCCGUUCAUUGUUUUCUAGAACUCUGCGUGAUCCCAUCUGCUAGGUGACGUCACUCUCCGC